rnacentral:rRNA from 1 species
AUUGAACGCUGGCGGCGUGCCUAACACAUGCAAGUCGAGCGGCAGCGCGGGAGCAAUCCUGGCGGCGAGCGGCGGACGGGUGAGUAAUGCUUGGGAAUCUGCCUGUUAGUGGGGGACAACCCGGGGAAACUCGGGCUAAUACCGCAUACGCACUACGGUGGAAAGCCGGGGACCGCAAGGCCUGGCGCUAACAGAUGAGCCCAAGUCGGAUUAGCUAGUUGGUAGGGUAACGGCCACCAAGGCGACGAUCCGUAACUGGUCUGAGAGGACGACCAGUCACACCGGAACUGAGACACGGUCCGGACUCCUACGGGAGGCAGCAGGUGGGGAAUAUUGGACAAUGGGGGAAACCCUGAUCCAGCGAUGCCGCGUGUGUGAAGAAGGCCUGCGGGUUGUAAAGC